AACACGUGGGCAAUCUGCCCUUCACUCUGGGACAAGCCCUGGAAACGGGGUCUAAUACCGGAUAACACUUCCACUCUCCUGGGUGGAGGUUAAAAGCUCCGGCGGUGAAGGAUGAGCCCGCGGCCUAUCAGCUAGUUGGUGAGGUAAUGGCUCACCAAGGCGACGACGGGUAGCCGGCCUGAGAGGGCGACCGGCCACACUGGGACUGAGACACGGCCCAGACUCCUACGGGAGGCAGCAGUGGGGAAUAUUGCACAAUGGGCGAAAGCCUGAUGCAGCGACGCCGCGUGAGGGAUGACGGCCUUCGGGUUGUAAACCUCUUUCAGCAGGGAAGAAGCGAAAGUGACGGUACCUGCAGAAGAAGCGCCGGCUAACUACGUGCCAGCAGCCGCGGUAAUACGUAGGGCGCGAGCGUUGUCCGGAAUUAUUGGGCGUAAAGAGCUCGUAGGCGGCUUGUCACGUCGGUUGUGAAAGCCCGGGGCUUAACCCCGGGUCUGCAGUCGAUACGGGCAGGCUAGAGUUCGGUAGGGGAGAUCGGAAUUCCUGGUGUAGCGGUGAAAUGCGCAGAUAUCAGGAGGAACACCGGUGGCGAAGGCGGAUCUCUGGGCCGAUACUGACGCUGAGGAGCGAAAGCGUGGGGAGCGAACAGGAUUAGAUACCCUGGUAGUCCACGCCGUAAACGGUGGGCACUAGGUGUGGGCAACAUUCCACGUUGUCCGUGCCGCAGCUAACGCAUUAAGUGCCCCGCCUGGGGAGUACGGCCGCAAGGCUAAAACUCAAAGGAAUUGACGGGGGCCCGC
rnacentral:rRNA from 1 species